rnacentral:tRNA from 2 species
UGCCAGAUCGUCUAAUGGUAGGACGCAGGUUUCUGGUACCUGUUAUCUAGGUUCGAGUCCUAGUCUGGCAGCAA